GGGUAGGCAUGUCACAAGGUGACAUAGCGUAGAUCUCAAUCCUCUAAAACAAAUCCAACGGCUGACAUUCGUCCACGUCAUCUGCUGAGAUUCGUCCACGUCAUGACGAUGACGUGGACGAAUCUCAGCCGUUGGAUUUAUUUUGGAGGACUGAGAUCUACGCUAUGUCACCUUAUGACAUGCCUAUCC
rnacentral:pre_miRNA from 1 species